rnacentral:rRNA from 1 species
GAUCCUGGCUCAGGACGAACGCUGGCGGCGUGCUUAACACAUGCAAGUCGAACGGGGGUUACAUUGAAACCUAGUGAAAUGUAACCUUAGUGGCGGACGGGUGAGUAACGCGUGGAUAACCUGCCUAUCUGACCGGGACAACACCUGGAAACGGGUGCUAAUACCGGAUACGCUCAUAGAUUCAGAAGAAUAGAUGAGGAAAGGGGAAACCCGCAGACAGAUGGGUCCGCGUCCCAUUAGCUAGUUGGAGGUGUAAGAGACCCCCAAGGCGACGAUGGGUAGCCGGCCUGAGAGGGUGAACGGCCACACUGGAACUGAGACACGGUCCAGACUCCUACGGGAGGCAGCAGUGGGGAAUCUUCCGCAAUGGGCGCAAGCCUGACGGAGCAACGCCGCGUGAGUGAAGAAGGCCUUCGGGUUGUAAAACUCUGUCAUCAGGGAAGAAGAAAGUGACGGUACCUGAGGAGGAAGCCCCGGCUAACUACGUGCCAGCAGCCGCGGUAAAACGUAGGGGGCGAGCGUUGUCCGGAAUUACUGGGCGUAAAGGGCGCGUAGGCGGUUAUCCAAGUCAGGGGUGAAAACCUUGGGCUCAACUCAGGGCCUGCCUCUGAAACUGGGUAACUUGAGGGCAGGAGAGGGGAGUGGAAUUCCCAGUGUAGCGGUGAAAUGCGUAGAUAUUGGGAGGAACACCAGUGGCGAAGGCGGCUCUCUGGCCUGUUUCUGACGCUGAGGCGCGAAAGCGUGGGGAGCGAACGGGAUUAGAUACCCCGGUAGUCCACGCCGUAAACGAUGAGUACUAGGUGUAGGCGGGGUUAGAGCCGUCUGUGCCGAAGCAAACGCGUUAAGUACUCCGCCUGGGGAGUACGGCCGCAAGGCUAAAACUCAAAGGAAUUGAC